UAUAUAUUUCUUUUAUUGCCCUUGUAGACAGACGAGCAUACGGCCCACCUGAUGGUGAGUGGUUACCAUCGCCCAUGGACUUCAGAAAUGCCAGGGGCAGAGCCAAGCCGCUGCCUACCGUUUAAUACUCUCUACAGGCCUCGUUUGAAGAAGGACAUGUCAUAGCGCUCGGGAAACACCGUGAAGGGGACCUCAUUUCAUAGCCGGAUGGUACGUGACAAAAAAGACCUCUGAAAACGCACUGUGGAUGACCGCAGUAGCUCCAGGUAGUAUGGAUGAACUCUACUCCGGUGGCGGGCGGUGCGAUGGUAAAAACGAGAUGCCGGAAUCAUCUCAAACAAUUCCUCAGAGCACUCCAAAUAUAAAUUAAUCUUAAGCAAUCAAUCAAAUGUAAUCAAAUCUUAGUUAUCUUUUUUUUUUGUUAUUAAUGCACUGCCGAUUGCACCUACAAUUGAGGUGACAUCUGCCAUGAACUUCCGUCAAUUUGUCAAUGUUUAGUAUUGAUGAUCACUUUGUUGGUGCAACUUAAUAAAUAAAUAAAUAUCGACUGAAGUUUAAUUGUUUUACAGAUGAAGCUGAUCUUCUGUAAAGAUAAAGCGAAAACCGGUCUCUAGUUGUGGCCGCAUCACGCAAAAUUACUGAAUUUUUUUUGAGUUUAGGCAACUACGUUAAAUAGACAGGAACGAAGUCGCGGGCACAGAUAAUGUUCAAUACAAUAAAAAAAUCGACGAAAACAAAAUCGACAUACUUUAUUCAACAAUAAGAAGUUUACUGAAGAGCUGAUUUUAAAACUACCGAAAUUUUAUUCAUAACUCACCUAGCCUCGGCGAGUCUUAAAUCUAGAGGAUAGUGUGGAGAAUCGUGCUCUUCGCUUCCCGAUGAGUCCUCGCGCCAUCCAAAGUUAUCCACCACUGAAAUACGCGUUCUACAUCAACUCUUCGUGUCUUAAGAAUCGCAUUCAUUCCAUUUACGAACAAUGCAAUGUUGCCAGUUUAGAGAAUGUUUCGUGCGUGUGAAUGAGAUAAAAGUAUUUAACCCGAAUUCAUAUUUCUCGAAUGGUUGGUGCUGAAUUUCAAAUUCCUAUUAAUAAGCAUGUACGAAAUAAUGUUCAUGUGUUUUAUUUAGCAAGCAAUGCGUCACACUUAUAAUCUUCUUACCUUUCAUUGUAGCCAAACUAGAAAAGAGCACUAUAGGUACUAUUGUGGUACACUUUCUAAUAAAAGCAAAGGAUAAACGGAAGGUGGCAUAAAAAUAAAAACAAAAUCACAAUCGUCAAAAGCUUUCAAACGUGCAGAAAAAAACAAUUCUAGACAUUUUUCUAAAAAAAAAUACAAAUAUAUUAUUAUUUUAUGCGGGUUUAAGUAUGUUUUAGUCGAUUAAUUUUUAUUUCACUGCGUAGUUAAGACUUGCCUAUUUUGAUAUUAAUAUUGUUAUUCAUAUCAUAAAGCACAAUUAUAUUGUAAGGAUUACAAAUAUUAAAUUAAAAAUUUAUGUGUUCACAAUAACCUUUACUAUAUUAGAUUUGUUACUAUUUAUCCACUGACCACAGAUAUAGAAUUCGAAUUCAAACCAAGAACUGUUAACACUACAAUAAACUACGUCAUAAUAAUAUACUUAGCCGCUUGCAUUCAUGCGAUCCAACUAGUAUGGUAUUAUCUAUGAUAUUAGCGAGAUAAACUAUGUAACACAAUAACGGGAUUUAUUUUUAUUUAAUUCACGCAAUAAAGAUGACGUCAUGAUCACUGCAACUCGGAUAAAAGAUCCAAGUGUCACGUCAAACAAAUAAAAAAAUAAAAAAAGCCUUUCUGGAAAAAUAUCACAUAACGUCUUAGCUAAUGUCGAAUCAAUGUGUAACGUAUUAUAUUGUCUGUAUAAAUUUUAAUAUUUUCCCUUUAUUAUGCUAUCACGCAUCACGUCAGUUUGAAGUCGUGAAAUGAAUAAUUCCUUAAUUCAAAGCAAUAAAUCAUGCAAGGAUAGGGAUGUACCGUCACCAAUAUUACGAAAGGCAAAAACGCGCUUAAAAAAAAAAAACCCUGAAUAUGACACCUUUAGAGCCUUUGCCUUUCCAGUCCCAUCAUUCAACCGAACGCUUUCAUGAUUAUUUCAUACAUGCUUCAUUAAUUAGGAAUUUUACUGUGUGAAAGCUUCCUAUCGAUUGUGACCGAUAAAUGUUGAUGUUUUAAUUUUAUUUAUUGACAACUCUAUUCAUACUACAUGUUUUUUUUUGCUUAAAUACUAAAAACAAAUAAAUAACAUUCGUUCGGUUGCUGUCUAAAAUAAUCUUUCAGAUAUAAAUUUUAAACUAUGCGAGGAACAUAAAACCAUCGAGUACAUAUCGAUUAGAACACGUUAGUCGAUUUUCAUUUUGAGACGUGCAUGACAAAUUUGUCGUUAUUGUUUCAGUCAAUUUGUAAGCCUUGUAUAUUUUUUUUCUUUAUUUCAAAAUGUCAUUUGAUAAACGACCAAUACUGGUUCGCGUUUUAUUGUUGAAUUUAUUUAACAAAGUUCAAUUUAUUUAAUAGACUUAGAAAUGCUUAGAGUUGGGACAGUUAACACGUUUACACUUCAUGCAACAUUUCUACAUAUCUUUAUGUAGUGUGAACGUGAAUAAGAAUCCAAAUUGAUAAGACGUAUAAAAAGUAUUAUUUAAAGACGUUACAAAACAAGGAUUCUUCUAAAUUCUAUCAGCUCUAGAUUUUUACGGUGAAGUUUAUAUUAUAAUAAUAUAACUCUCUCGAAUAUGUACUCGAUGUUAAAAACCUACCUUUUAUUUUGGAAAAAAUAUUAAAACCUAGAGAAAAUUUUCACGAUUUUUUUAAAAAUGUAGUAUAGCAAAGAUCCUUAGAGAUACAAUACUUUUUUUUUAAUUCUAAUCAUUUUGUAUUACUACUAUUUACAUUUCGUUACACUUUGAUUUUUUAAUAACACGUAUCACAAUACACAAUCGAAUGAAAAUGAAUAUCGAUUUAAAAUCGACUAAUAAGAUUUGAUAGUUUUACACCUAGACUUAAGUACAGAAUAAAAAUCAUUUGAAAAUUCAGCUGAUUUAGUGUUAUAAAAAUACUUUAGAAGCUAACUUAACAGCUGAUUUUUUUUUGUAACAAAGUAAUGAAUCAUUAAUUUGGUUAGAAUGCAAAAUUAAAUACACACAAUACGUUUAAAACAUCCGAUAUAUUUAAUCGAAACUAACAAAACAAUUCGUUUAUAUUGUUAAAACAUUCAAGGAACGUUUUCGCAUACUAAAACAUGAAUUAUAGUCACUACUAAUUUUAAUCACCGAUUUGGAAUAUAUUAAAAAAAAAAAAAAACAUUUAUAUUAGAGAUUCCACUGAAUAUAAUGUUAAAAAAAUGUAAACACAAGAGAACGUUUGUUGAAUAAAUCUAAAUAAAAUGUUAGCCAAGAGAUAAAGAGUUCUCGCUUCAUCUGAUGCUUUAUUCACAUAUCACGCUUUAACAAAACAAAAUAAACAUUACACAGAGUAAACUGAAGGCGCGUGUUUCAUCAAGCAUUAAUGUUUAACUACUUUGCAAACAUUAGUAUAUCGAAGCAUUCACAACUUUGAAUUGUUUAAAUAUUUAAAAACGACCCUAAUUAUAUUGAACUAUGCUAGUUUUUAAUUGCCAAGAAUAAAUUAAGAUAUUGAUGUAAGAAGGUUUUAAAUGUGUAGUCAAAAUUUAUGACUACUUUAAUAUAACUCCUGCCUACUAAAAAUAUGUCGGGUUGUCAGAAGAUAAUAGCUAAUUAAAAACUUUAAAAAAAUUAUUACCGAAUGUAUCCUAAUCUGAUUCGAUAAGAACUCGGUAUACUGAAAUACGCCAACAAUUGGCAACAACAAAUCACUAGAGACUUUAAAAAAAAGGUCAUAAAAAAUCUAAAAAUUCAAAUCCUAAAGUUCUACAAGUAAAUAAUUAAAAUUAUCAUAAAAAAUUCUACUAAUUCAAAUCAUAAAGUUCUAUAUAACUAAAAACUAUUAGAUAGUAGAAGUUAAUUUAUUUUUAAUUACUUGUGACCGUUUCAAAAUCAGCAGUGAAUGCAUCUAUACAUUUUUCUAUCUAUUAAAUCUAAAAUACAUUGUCAUAGAGUUAACGUUUAUUUAGUUACCAAUAAAGGGAUUGAAAAAAAAAAUUUUUUUUCUUGUGAGUGCCAUCCCUAAUAAUGUUUACAGAGAGACACCAUUAGUGAUCUUUACUCCGUAUGACAACGUAUUGAAGUGUACAUAAUAUGUAGGUAUGAAACGUGCGAAGGUCAUUCGACGUGCUCGUGGAAGACGGACACGUCAUCGAAGGUCUUACCUGAGCCGCACAGGGAUGUGUCGUCGCCGACGCUCAGGUCGUCCUGGGAACUGCUCAUGCGGGCUGUGGAGGCAAGAGGGAAUUAACGUUACAUUUGUAGAACAAACAUUAACGUUAACCCUUCGCGAUUGACUUCAACGGUGAAGGAUAUUUUUUUUAUUGCUUAGAUGGGUGGGCGAGCUCACAGCCACAUGGUAGUAAAUCGUUACUGGAGCCCAUAGACAUCUACCAUAUAAAUGCGUCACCCACCUUGAGAUAUAAGUUCUAAGGUCUCAGUAUAGUUAGAAUGGCUGCCCCACCCUUCAAACCAAAAAGCAUUACUGCUUCACGGCAGAAAUAGGCAGGGCGGUGGUACCUACCCGUGCGGACUCACAAGAGACCACCAGAAAUUACGCAAAUUAUAAUUUUGCGGAUCCUUCCGAUCCACUAACGGUGCUUUUAGAUACCUCAAGCACGGGUCAUCGUUAUAAUAUAUUAUUAUAGAAUAUUAUGAUUAAAGUAGAGGGAAACUCACGUCUUCCCGUCGGUCGACCGUUCAUGUUCCUGUACAGCGUGGUCUCCAGGUACUGCAGCCCGUUGUUGUUGAUGAUGUUGAACCCGCACAGGCGUUCGAUCUGCUUCCAUCGGUGCAUGCGUUCCUACA